rnacentral:tRNA from 1 species
CGGGGUGUGGCGCAGUUGGCUAGCGCACAUGUCUGGGGGACAUGGGGUCGGAAGUUCGAGUCUUCUCACCCCGA